CCUCAUGAUGUACAGAGGGCGCAGUGCACUCUACAGAAUUGGACUUGAAAAGUAAAGAAGGCGGACAGAGUUUCCUCUCUUACUGGAAUCUUCUGGAAACCAUAGCCAUGGGGUAUUCCCUAAUGCCUCACAUCCUUUAAGCAAUGUUUAAUGGCCACCUGUUGCAUGAGGGCUCAUCAGGGGAAAGGACCAUUUCACGACAACCCAGGACCCUGGCCCUAAACUUCGGUGUCCAGGCUAGUGGGGCUGGACCAUGUGGAGAAUUUGUUUUGCCAGGACAGGAGGUCUUGAGGGCCUGGAAUCCAAGAAUUUCCAGGAGGUCCUUCACCAUGUUCCUGCCAAGUCCGUGGCCACCACACCACAAAAUGGCAGAGCCCAGGUUCAUGUUCUCGAUAAGGAUCCCGUGCCUUUUUCAUUGUGCUGACUCUCUUUGCCAUGGUGGGGCUUUUUAUGGCCUGGCAGGGUAAGGGCCUCAGCGUUCUAGCCGCAGGUGAUGGAGAGACUGCCUGCCUUUGGUUCCUCGAAUCACUGACCUGGGAGCCCCAUCACGUGGGGCCCCAAGCAGAGGCCCCGGGUAGCCACCUCUGGGAUGUCCUAGCUUAGGUGCUGCUGAGAGUUUGUCAAUACUUGUAUCUCCCCUCUGCCUUAAUGAUCAAUGUGUCCAAAGUCACAAACUCAAACCACAGCACAUGGAAAUAAUGACUUAUCCUGUGACUGCCAUAAAUGCACUCCAGUGUCUCAGAUGUAUUUCAUCGAUCAUUCUUUAAGGUACAAAAGACGUGUGUCAACAUAGAAACAGUCUCUAUUCUGGGGAGGAAGCUCCAUGAAUGUGUGUACUAUUGACUCUCAGUCAAAGAUGCCAUUUUCCUCUUUGCGGGCCAUCGACGUUUUGCACCAAGCCCUCUCUUCUUAGAUAAUUGCACUUUACACUUUGGCAUCACGUUCUGAAGGCUUGAGGCUGAAGUUUCUACUGCCCUUCCACGAGGAGGACAGCCUGUGGUCCCCACAAUGAGAUCUGGUUCUUUCUGCUCAUUCGUGGAGUGACGUGGAGAGCAGGGAGCUGAUUUGCAGAAGGACCACUUGGUAGACAGGCUAUUCAGGAUUCUGACGACAUGUUGGCGGAUUCAUGGGUAGUCGAGCGCCCACCACAUCAUUUCUGAGCUCUGUCUACUGAGAGGAAGUCAUAUAAACCAGGUAUGAUUUGUGCACUUUUCUUCGGUACGUCAUACAUCAACCAAAAGUUUAUUGACUUUUUGAUGCCACUUGAUCCAAGACACCCACAUCCUGGACUGAAGGAUUGGAUUUGAAUGAAACUCAUUUUCAUCACAAGACAAAGGGAUUUUCCAAGCCAUAAAGAGAUGACAUCUGACUGCUCUGAGUUCUGUGAAGAGUGAUGUGGAGACACACGGCAUGACGUGACUGUUACUACAGCCCAACUUGUCCACCAGAGAUGAUGAGCUGUGUGGUCCUCAGUCCUCCCCUUGAAAGAGGAAGAUGGGGGAUGCUUCCGAAGCCCUUCGUCCUCCGUGCCACUGAGCUGCGGAAGGCUUUGCAGAGGGUGGGGUGUACAAGGAAGCAGAACCCAGGGACCCUGCCACACAGGAACCUGCAAGGAGCACACGAGGAUGAGAUGAACACACACUAAAAGGCUCAAGGACGAUGCAGAAAGCCUUGGUGUUACCCACAAACACUGCAGUUCUUUCCCCAUGCACCUCUAGUUCUACCAAGCCUUGAGAAGUUCCUGGCUGCCUGGCUUGACAUUAGUCGAAAGUUGUGAGAAUGCUACAAUCAGCGUACCUUCUGUCCAGAUUUAUCUACUGUGAUAUUUUGCCCCAUUUGUUUUAUUUUUGCUCUUCAAUAUCUUAGUAUAUUAGGAGUGUUAGUCCUUUA